rnacentral:rRNA from 1 species
GAUGAACGCUGGCGGCGUGCCUAAUACAUGCAAGUCGAGCGAACGGACGAGAAGCUUGCUUCUCUGAUGUUAGCGGCGGACGGGUGAGUAACACGUGGAUAACCUACCUAUAAGACUGGGAUAACUUCGGGCAACCGGAGCUAAUACCGGAUAAUAUUUUGAACCGCAUGGUUCAAAAGUGAAAGACGGUCUUGCUGUCACUUAUAGAUGGAUCCGCGCUGCAUUAGCUAGUUGGUAAGGUAACGGCUUACCAAGGCAACGAUGCAUAGCCGACCUGAGAGGGUGAUCGGCCACACUGGAACUGAGACACGGUCCAGACUCCGACGGGAGGCAGCAGUAGGGAAUCUUCCGCGAUGGGCGAAAGCCUGACGGAGCAACGCCGCGUGAGUGAUGAAGGUCUUCGGAUCGUAAAACUCUGUUAUUAGGGAAGAACAUAUGUGUAAGUAACUGUGCACAUCUUGACGGUACCUAAUCAGAAAGCCACGGCUAACUACGUG